rnacentral:lncRNA from 1 species
AUGGGGUCUCGUUCCUUGGGGAUUCCGGAGUCUGAGGAGCCAGUGUCCAGUUCGGCAUCCCUGGAGUCGUCCCUAUGCAAAACUUGCACCGGUUGCGCUCUCAAAAGCCCCAGGCUCGCACGUGUCUUUACCCUCUGGUCCCUCCUAAUCGGUGUCACCCCACGCGCCAGGUGCCCUGAGGACUUACCUAAGAGAUCUCAGAGUCUGAGGAUAGUAGGGCAACUUCUCCUCCCUGCUCUAGACGGGCCCAAACGCCCUCAACAAGCGAGGGUCCACAACGACGCUCGCCCAGAGGUCGGGGUGUCGGGGCGCGUCCUGGCCUGCAGGGCGGGGAGACGCGCGCGGGAGGCACGCGGGCGGCGCGCCCGGCCACCCAGUGGGUCCUGCCGUGCAGCAGCCGCCGCACGUGAGCCGCGGCGAGCGCGAAGGGCCGUCGGGACACGAGCUCUGCCCGGGUUAAAGCCAACCCCCAGCUACCGACUGCCCUCCGCUCGCCAGGGGCCUCCACCGACUUACAGGGUUUCCCACUUCUGGAACAGGCUUCCAAAUCCUGCAGGGACCAGAUCUCUAACAGGAUGUAGAAGAAAUUUGAAAUGCAUGCCCCUGAAAAAGGCACAGAUUUGAAAUAGAACACCUGCUAAGCCCUUGUUUUCUUCUAAUCAGUAGUUGCUGAUUGAGAAAAUUACGCACACACAAUAUGUAUGUAUUAUGUGUUAAAAAUAUUCAAGAUAAUUUAUUUUUACUUAUCCAUACUGAAUUUAGUUACCAGGUUUUUUAGUUGCUUGAAAUAUAGGCAAGUUUAUUAUCUUGAGGUAUUUACAUUUUUCUUUAUUUUAUAUUCUACCAAAGCAAAAAC